rnacentral:rRNA from 1 species
GAUGAACGCUGGCGGCGUGCCUAAUACAUGCGAGUCGAGCGAACGGACGAGAAGCUUGCUUCUCUGAUGUUAGCGGCGGACGGGUGAGUAACACGUGGAUAACCUACCUAUAAGACUGAGAUAACUUCGGGAAACCGGAGCUAAUACCGGAUAAUAUUUUGAACCGCAUGGUUCAAAAGUGAAAGACGGUCUUGCUGUCACUUAUAGAUGGAUCCGCGCUGCAUUAGCUAGUUGGUAAGGUAACGGCUUACCAAGGCAACGAUGCAUAGCCGACCUGAGAGGGUGAUCGGCCACACUGGAACUGAGACACGGUCCAGACUCCUACGGGAGGCAGCAGUAGGGAAUCUUCCGCAAUGGGCGAAAGCCUGACGGAGCAACGCCGCGUGAGUGAUGAAGGUCUUCGGAUCGUAAAACUCUGUUAUUAGGGAAGAACAUAUGUGUAAGUAACUGUGCACAUCUUGACGGUACCUAAUCAGAAAGCCACGGCUAACUACGUA